rnacentral:rRNA from 1 species
AGAGUUUGAUCAUGGCUCAGGAUAAACGCUGGCGGCGUGCCUUACGCAUGCAAGUCGCACGAGGCCUUCGGGUCGAGUGGCGGACGGGUGAGUAACACGUACGUGACCUGUCCCGAACAGGGGAAUACCCGCCUGAAAGGGUGGCUAAUACCGCAUGUGGUCUCCGGAUUGCGGUCCGGAGAGUAAAGUCGCAAGGCGGUUCGGGAGGGGCGUGCGGUCGAUUAGCUGGUUGGUGGGGUAACGGCCUACCAAGGCGACGACGCGUAGCCGGACUGAGAGGUUGGCCGGCCACAUUGGGACUGAGACACUGCCCAGACUCCUACGGGGGGCUGCAGUAACGAAUCUUCCGCAAUGCACGAAAGUGUGACGGAGCGACGCCGCGUGUGGGACGAAGUCCUUCGGGAUGUAAACCACUGUCAGGGGUUACCAAGUUCUGAGGAGCCCCAGAGGAAGGCACGGCUAACUCUGUGCCAGCAGCCGCGGUAAGACAGAGGUGCCAAGCGUUAGGCGGAAUCACUGGGCUUAAAGCGUGUGUAGGCGGACCGUUAAGUACCUUGUGAAAUCCCACGGCUCAACCGUGGAACUGCUCGGUAUACUGGCGGUCUUGAGCCACCUAGGGGCAACCGGAACAAGCGGUGGAGCGGUGAAAUGCGUAGAUAUCGCUUGGAACGCCAACGGUGAAAACAGGUUGCUGGGGGUGUGCUGACGCUGAGACACGAAAGCCAGGGGAGCGAACGGGAUUAGAUACCCCUGUAGUCC